rnacentral:rRNA from 1 species
CCGGCACGGGGAGGUAGUGACGAAAAAUAACGAUACGGGACUCAUCCGAGGCCCCGUAAUCGGAAUGAGUACACUUUAAAUCCUUUAGCGAGGAUCCAUUGGAGGGCAAGUCUGGUGCCAGCAGCCGCGGUAAUUCCAGCUCCAAUAGCGUAUAUUAAAGUUGUUGCGGUUAAAAAGCUCGUAGUUGAAUCUGUGUGUCACGAUGCUCGUUCACCGCUCGCGGUGUUUAACUAGCAUGCCGUGAGACGUCCUACCGGUGGGCUUAGCUCUUCACGGGGCGGUCCAACUAAUAUCCCAUCGCGGUGCUCUUCAUCGAGUGUCGAGGUGGGCCGGUACGUUUACUUUGAACAAAUUAGAGUGCUUAAAGCAGGCUAUUUUCGCCUGAAUACUGUGUGCAUGGAAUAAUAGAAUAGGACCUCGGUUCUAUUUUGUUGGUUUUCGGAACCCCGAGGUAAUGAUUAAUAGGGACAGAUGGGGGCAUUCGUAUUGCGACGUUAGAGGUGAAAUUCUUGGAUCGUCGCAAGACGGACAGAAGCGAAAGCAUUUGCCAAAAAUGUUUUCAUUAAUCAAGAACGAAAGUUAGAGGUUCGAAGGCGAUCAGAUACCGCCCUAGUUCUAACCAUAAACGAUGCCAGCUAGCGAUCCGCCGAAGUUCCUCCGAUGACUCGGCGGGCAGCUUCCGGGAAACCAAAGCUUUUGGGUUCCGGGGGAAGUAUGGUUGCAAAGCUGAAACUUAAAGGAAUUGACGGAAGGGCACCACCAGGAGUGGAGCCUGCGGCUUAAUUUGACUCAACACGGGAAACCUCACCAGGCCCGGACACCGGAAGGAUUGACAGAUUGACAGCUCUUUCUUGAUUCGGUGGGUGGUGGUGCAUGGCCGUUCUUAGUUGG